GGCUUAGUCGUAACAAGGUAGCCGUAGAGAACCUGCGGUUGGAUCACCUCCU
rnacentral:rRNA from 1 species